CUUUCUCUCUUUCUCUCUUUCCCUCUCUCUUCCUCUCUCUAUCUAUCCAUCUAUCUCUCUCUACCAUUGCGAUUUUCGAGGUUAUGUGAAUCGAAUACGUAAACAUGGCGAUGGAGUAGUCAAUUGUCAAAGACCGCGAACAUUUGAUUUUGUAUCGUACGAAAACGUAUUAAAAUUGUUUCAAUUAUUUGUUUAA